AUUCCAGCACGGAAUCCGAUCUGGAUGCCAUGAUGCGAAUGGCCUGUGGAGCAACGCCACGGACAGGAUCAGGGAAAGCACGGGGGAGCUUUGACGCAACGACACCGCGCAUAUCCGAUCUGAAGAGGCGAAUCUCUGACACCGGAGUUCUAUAAUGGCUCGAUCCUUCGCGGUCUGUUGACUCGUGGGGUGUCAUCAGCGGUGUAUUGAAGUGGAUUAUUACGAGGUUAGAAGAGAUUCGGAGAUUUUGAGGAGAUCAGAGAGGAGAGGAAAGGAGAGGAGAGCAGAGCUGGUAAGUUUUGUAUUGAUAGCUUCAGGCAGAAACGUACACUAUGAAAGGAUUGUCGAGUAUUGUGAAGUCUAAGGAGAGUGGUGCAACUGCGAAUACUAAUGGCGGGGGUUCAACUGCGUCUGCGGCCGCUGCUCCUCCAAGUGCACCGAAGGUACCGAAGGAGGGGAACGGCAAACAUGGUUUGAUUUCGAAGAUAACGAGCAGGGCUAGCUUGAAAUCGAAGAACACGAAGUCGGGGACAUUUGAGCAUGGAGCGGAGGCGCCUUUGCCGACAUUGGUUUCCUCGAAGGCGGACGAAUUGACAAGAGCGUUUAAUGUCUUUGAUGCUGACAAGGACGGGAGAGUUUCCACUGCAGAGCUCAGGUCCGUGCUCACGUCUCUUGGCGGAGCAAUUUCGGAGGAGGAGCUUGUUGACAUCAUGAAGGAGGUUGAUAUGGACAAUGAUGGAUUCAUUAGCUUGCACGAGUUCAUUGGAUUUCACAAAUCUGGCGCCCGGGCUCUAGUUACUGGCGACGAAGUAUCUCCGGUUCCCGACCCGAUGAAAGAUGCGUUUCAAACGUUUGAUAAGGAUGGAGACAAGCGUAUAUCUGCUACCGAAUUGCAAUCUGUUUUGGUAAGUCUGGGAGAGAAAGGGCACUCCCUUGAGGAAUGUCGACAAAUGAUCGGUGGCGUGGACAAAGACGGAGAUGGCCAUGUGGAUUUCUCGGAAUUUCAAGAGCUCAUGGGAGGCCAACAGUAAGAAUAGAUGGAGUGUCUCAAGGGCGCUAAAGAAUCCAUGAAUUGUGGUUUGUAACAGUACAUAGGCUGCUCGAUUGACAUGAGGAUCUCGCUGUGGACGUCCAGAAGCUUAGUGGACAUCUGACACAAAUAGCUGGUUAUUUGCGGGGGUCAUUUUGUCGACAUUCGCGAGGAGUUGUUUCGAGGUGAACAAUGACUUUUUAAUUUUUUCCUUCGCCCCCUCAGAAUCUUUUAGAGUGGUCGGUUUUGUGUGAUCAUUUAGCAUCAUCUUCGUGGUCAUUUGGGGAACCAUCCUAAUGCUGCAGCAGAAGUUCCACACUUGAAUUUGCGUCGACCUUUGUUAGAGCCAGCAUGGUCAACUAGCGAUUGCUCGAGACGUGGCGAUUGGUGUGACUGCCACGCACAACUCUAGUGGAGCUGCGGGACUUUUUUCCCGACACUGCUGAAACAGUAUAACCGAAAGAUGAAGCUUAGUCUUGUAUUGAGUGCUGUGUUUUGUGACUGAUUGUGUCUCAAUAUUCUUGGUUGUUGCAGGUUCAUUUGUAAAUAAAUCUCACAUUUCCGUGUUCUCACAAA